UCAUAAUUCGAGCCCAACUCGCAGGAGGCCCUAUUUUAGCAGCUUCCAUCGCUAUACUUGCUCUCCAACUUAUCGUUUCACUAGAAAUUGACCCGUUAGAAGCCAAGGUAAUAUCGGUUGGGUUCAUUAAGGGUGGAGCAGCAGAGAACGAAAUGCCGGAGGAGGACCAAUUUGGAGGAACUUUUAGAACGUUCACGUCAGAAACAGCAAUCCUACCUUCAGCAAAGAAUGCAGGAGGUGAUAGAGACGCAAAGUGCAGUGAUGAAGGGAUGCUUGGCUAUGGUGGACUUCAUGGAAGAAACAAUGAGGCCUUAUCCUCCAACCAUAAACGACAGUGCUCUGUGUGAGCACGUGAAGAGAGUGGGAGAAGCUUUGCUGGGUAAGCCAAACGUGAAAGUAUCUCCAACGAUCAUGGCAGCAGAAGACUUCGGCUUUGG